AUUGAACGCUGGCGGCAGGCCUAACACAUGCAAGUCGAGCGGAGCGGCGGACGGGUGAGUAAUGCCUAGGACUCUGCCUGGUAGUGGGGGAUAACGUCCGGAACCGGGCGCUAAUACCGCAUACUCUCCGAUGCGCCUAGGUCGGAUUAGCUAGUUGGUGGGGUAAAGGCCUACCCAGGCGACGAUCCUUAACUGGUCUGGGAGGAUGAUCAGUCACACUGGAACUGAGACACGGUCCAGACUCCUACGGGAGGCAGCAGUGGGGAAUAUUGGACAAUGGGCGAAAGCCUGAUCCAGCCAUGCCGCGUGUGUGAAGAAGGUCUUCGGAUUGUAAAGCACUUUAAGUUGGGAGGCGUUACCAACAGAAUAAGCACCGGCUAACUUCGUGCCAGCAGCCGCGGUAAUUC
rnacentral:rRNA from 1 species